rnacentral:rRNA from 1 species
GGCUGCAAUCGUCUCGUUAUUAAUUCUUACAAUAUGGAGGUCAUUGACACAAUGAAAAACGGAGGGCAAUCAUCAGGAGCAGCAGUGGCAGUUUUUGAUGAUUGUUAUUUUAUGGCUUGUUAUUUUCCUCUUAGUAGUUUUGAAUUUUGUAACAGAGAAGCGAAUAAAGUAACACAUGAGCUUGUUAGACUAGUAAAAUAUUCCAUGGCAAGGGACUGGAUCGAGGAGCCUCUGAAAAAUAUUGUAUCCCUUCUUACAGACGAUGUAACAAUUAUUUUUAAUUAA